rnacentral:rRNA from 1 species
UACGGGGGGGGCUAGCGUUGUUCGGAAUUACUGGGCGUAAAGGGCGCGUAGGCGGCCUACUAAGUCGGACGUGAAAUCCCUCGGCUCAACCGGGGAACUGCGUCUGAUACUGGGUGGCUUGAAUCCGGGAGAGGGAUGCGGAAUUCCAGGUGUAGCGGUGAAAUGCGUAGAUAUCUGGAGGAACACCGGUGGCGAAGGCGGCAUCCUGGACCGGCAUUGACGCUGAGGCGCGAAAGCCAGGGGAGCAAACGGG